UACGUAGGGGGCUAGCGUUGUCCGGAUUUAUUGGGCGUAAAGAGCGUGUAGGCGGCCCGGUAAGUCCGCUGUGAAAGUCGGGGGCUCAACCCUCGAAUGCCGGUGGAUACUGUCGGGCUAGAGUGCGGAAGAGGCGAGUGGAAUUCCUGGUGUAGCGGUGAAAUGCGCAGAUAUCAGGAGGAACACCAAUUGCGAAGGCAGCUCGCUGGGACGUAACUGACGCUGAGACGCGAAAGCGUGGGGAGCAAACAGG
rnacentral:rRNA from 1 species